rnacentral:rRNA from 1 species
ACGUAGGGUGCGAGCGUUAAUCGGAAUUACUGGGCGUAAAGCGUGCGCAGGCGGUUGUGUAAGACAGGUGUGAAAUCCCCGGGCUUAACCUGGGAAUUGCAUUUGUGACUGCACGACUAGAGUGUGUCAGAGGGGGGUGGAAUUCCACGUGUAGCAGUGAAAUGCGUAGAUAUGUGGAGGAACACCAAUGGCGAAGGCAGCCCCCUGGGAUAACACUGACGCUCAUGCACGAAAGCGUGGGGAGCAAACAGG